rnacentral:rRNA from 1 species
CGGUUUUCGGAUUGUAAACUUCUAUCAAUAGGGACGAAGAAAGUGACUGUACCUAAAUAAGAAGCCCCGGCUAACUACGUGCCAGCAGCCGCGGUAAUACGUAGGGGGCAAGCGUUAUCCGGAAUUACUGGGUGUAAAGGGUGAGUAGGCGGCAUGGCAAGUAAGAUGUGAAAGCCCGAGGCUUAACCUCGGGAUUGCAUUUUAAACUGCUAAGCUAGAGUACAGGAGAGGAAAGCGGAAUUCCUAGUGUAGCGGUGAAAUGCGUAGAUAUUAGGAAGAACACCAGUGGCGAAGGCGGCUUUCUGGACUGGAAACUGACGCUGAGGCACGAAAGCGUGGGGAGCGCCCAG